GUCUUCAGCCAUACCACCCAGAAUGCACCCGAUCUCAUCUGAUCUCAGAAGCUAAGCAGGGUCAGGCCUGGUUAGUACUCAGUGGCUCAGACUGUGUUUCUUAGUGGAGACUGUGACAAGGCUUUGCUGGAGACA
rnacentral:rRNA from 1 species